AUUGAACGCUGGCGGCAGGCUUAACACAUGCAAGUCGAACGAGUGGCGGACGGGUGAGUAAUGCUUGAGAAUCUGGCUUAUGGAGGGGGAUAACUACGGGAAACUGUCGCUAAUACCGUGAACCAUAGGAUGAGCCCAAGUGGGAUUGGGUAGUUUGUGAGGUAAAGGCUCACCAAGCCGACGAUCUCUAUCUGGUCUGAGAGGAUGACCAGCCACACUGGGACUGAGACACGGCCCAGACUCCUACGGGAGGCAGCAGUGGGGAAUAUUGCGCAAUGGGGGCAACCUGACGCAGCCAUGCCGCGUGAAUGAAGAAGGCCUUCGGGUUGUAAAGUUCUUUCGGUAGCGAGGCGUUAACUACAGAAGAAGCACCGGCUAACUCCGUGCCAGCAGCCGCGGUAAUUC
rnacentral:rRNA from 1 species